CCAGAUUUCUGAUGAGUAAGUCCUUAUCAUCGGACUCGGGUGAGCUUGAGAUAGGUUGGGUGGAGUGUGGCACAGUCUCCACGUAGAUGGGGGUAUUAUGUUAGGUGUGGCAGCGGUCAUUUGUGGAGUUCUGGGAUGAGUAGUGGGGUUUUAUUUGAGGUAUGGAAAGUAUUUCAAUGGUGGUGAGGAGUGGGAUGGUUUUGUUGCUUUGAGAUAUUUUGUUGCUUUGGGAUGUUUUGUGAAGGUACAGGACUCUGAGCAUUUGGGAAAGUAACCUCUGGAGUGGUGAGGGAAAAAGAUUGAUUUUCCAGAUUCCAAACUUGAUCAAGUUCCUCCUGAAAUUUCAACAGCUUUUGUUCCAGUUGGGAUGCAUUUUCCUUGGGGACCAGAGUACCAUGAGUGACCUCUACCGUUCAGUUGAGUUGUUCGAGUCUUCUAUUUUCCUUUUGUUCUUAUGUCGGACAUGACUGAGAGGAUGAGUAGGUGGAGGGCCCUUGGAUCUUCUAAAAUACGAUGAUGUUGCCAGAGUUCACGAACUAAUCUUUGGGGAGGGGAAUAAACAGAAGUAAAAACAAAAGGUAACAAAGUCAGCGAUGGUUAUAAGAAAAUGUUGCAAUAUUUAAACACGUAUUGCAGAAAUAUAAAGCGUGUCCUAAUUUGGGGACCUUUUUAUGCCCGAGGUAGGCCUAGCGACAAGUUAAUUUGGAGAACUUAGAAUGCUAAAGUUCCAUUUCAAUGAUAAAAAGUAGACGAAUCCCAAAUCGACACUAUAUAAUAAGAAAUUAAAAGUUUUCUAAUGGACAUUGGCCUUAUUACAUUUUGUAAAGAGGAAAUGAAAACUCCUAUCUAUUUGGUCCCAGAGGGAUCUUCCCCAAACUCGGCAUUAUUGGAUCCAUUAAACAGCUUUCCUAGCUCACGUAGUCUCAACAAUAAGUAGGCUCUGGCCAGAGGUCCGCCUUCAUUUCCUUUAGCAGUCCGGUAGUCUCGACCCUUUUCAGAAACUUCUUUUCCAACUCCACUAUACUUCGCUCCAAAUACCUCAGUCGUUUGUUAAUGCUGACAACUAUAUUUUUUCACUCUUCAAUUAGUUUUUGAUUGGCUUCCUGUAUCUCACGGUGCUUGCUUUCGCACUCUCGGAUUCUCUUGCACAUAUGGUUGUACUUGACCUGUGCUUCGGCC
rnacentral:lncRNA from 1 species